rnacentral:rRNA from 1 species
CGCGUAGGCGGUGUUUUAAGUGAGAUGUGCAAUCCCCGAGCUUAACUUGGGAACUGCAUCUCAGACUGGAACGCUAGAGUGCUGGAGAGGGUGGUAGAAUUCCACGUGUAGCGGUGAAAUGCGUAGAGAUGUGGAGGAAUACCAGUGGCGAAGGCGGCCACCUGGACAGUAACUGACGCUGAGGCGCGAAAGUGUGGGUAGCAAACAGGAUUAGAUACCCUGGUAGUCCACGCUGUAAACGAUGAGCACUUGGUGUGGUGGGAGUUGACCCCUGCCGUGCCGUAGCUAACGCGAUAAGUGUUCCGCCUGGGGAGUACGGUCGCAAGGCUGAA